rnacentral:tRNA from 1 species
GCUAGCGUAGCUUAACCAAAGCAGAGUACUGAAGAUGCUAAGAUGGACCUUUGAAAAGUCCCGCAGGCA